AAUAGUUUUAGUUCUGUAAAAGAGUUGGAUCCGACGCCCCUAGAAGGUUACUAUAGACUCUCCUUCUAUACUCCUACUCAAUACGUCCACGACGUGCAGAACGGUAACUUGUCGCCUAGAUCCAAGCUUGGGUACACGGGGAAAACCCUACCCCUUGGGCGGAUGGGCGGCAAGGCAGAAUUGAGAGGU
rnacentral:ribozyme from 1 species